rnacentral:rRNA from 1 species
GACAGAGGGUGCAAACGUUGCUCGGAAUCACUGGGCGUAAAGCGCGCGUAGGCGGCUACUUAAGUCGGAUGUGAAAGCCCUUGGCUCAACUGAGGAAGUGCACCCGAAACUGAGUAGCUGGAGUACGAAAGAGGGUCGCGGAAUUCCCGGUGUAGAGGUGAAAUUCGUAGAUAUCGGGAGGAACACCGGUGGCGAAGGCGGCGACCUGGGUCGAUACUGACGCUGAGGCGCGAAAGCGUGGGAGCAAACAGG